ACUUCGCUUGGAGAAAAAAGAAACGACUAGCGCAAUAUUGUUGUCGAAGGAGAGGAAAUAAGAAACCUAGAAAUGACAAUUGCCCCGAGCUUAACCUUUCUUGUUGGCUUUAAUUAAAUUAGCUCGCCAUUUCAUUUGCGUAAAUUUACGUUGGCUUCAUAAAACUGAGCUCAAAAUAAAUAAUCCGUCUCUGAUUGCAUUAGAUUUACCACCUAAAGGAUUUCAUGUCAAUGGAGCGAAAUUGAAUUGGUACUCUUCAUUCUUAUUGCGACUAUUCGUAAGCCGUUGGCCACAUAGAAAAGAUUGAGCACAUCAACCAAUAAACACUUUAUAUAUUAAACUCUGAUUGUGUUUGUGCAGCUGGAUCGUCAGCAGAGGAAAAGGAAUGCAGACGAAAACUAGUUGAAUGAAUGACUUAAUUGUUCUGCCACACAAGAGCUAUUAAAAAACUAAGGGGGCUGCCUGCUCUAGACGGACGGUAUGAAAUGAGAUGUGCUCCCCAAUAACAGAAGCGAUGGCAAUGAGGUAGCAAUGAGGGAGUGAGUGAACGAAAUGCAGCAGCUUCAGCAACAGCAUCAGAGGGCUAAGUAACAAAGAGAGGAGAAAUGUGUGAAAUGUUUGCAUAUAAAUGUGUGUGUACGAGUAUGUUCUGGCGGAUAUACAUUUGCAUGUACAUCUAUUAUAUAUACGAGUGUGCACUAUAAAUUGAAUUUGAUGGAUUUAUGCACUAACUGUAAUUUGGUGAUGCCAUGAAGAGUUCAUUGGUUUCGGGUCAAUGGCGCAGCGGCAGAGAAUCCAGUCAAUUUACACAGUUUAAGUGCUUUCGGUUUGAAACUUUAUUACCGGAAUUAAUUCAGCCUUAAUUGCAUUUUCAGUGGCAAUGAACUUUGCUGACAUAAACGUUUAAUUGUAUGUUUAAACGCUGUGAUCUAAAAUUAAUUGCAAUAUUUUACUGGUAAGCCAUUUGUAAUUCAAGUUGAUUAGUUUUCGAGUGAAAAGCGGCCCUGUAAUAUUUGAAACUGACAACAAUGAAA